CAAAGGCUUCGGCCGGUAAAGGAUGGGGAUGCGUCUGAUUAGCUUGCCGGCGGGGUAACGGCCCACCGGGGCGACGAUCAGUAGGGGUUCUGAGAGGAAGGUCCCCCACAUUGGAACUGAGACACGGUCCAAACUCCUACGGGAGGCAGCAGUGAGGAAUAUUGGCCAAUGGGCGCGAGCCUGAACCAGCCAAGUAGCGUGCAGGACGACGGCCCUAUGGGUUGUAAACUGCUUUUAUACGGGGAUAAAGUAUGCCACGUGUGGUUUAUUGCAGGUACCGUAUGAAUAAGGACCGGCUAAUUCCGUGCCAGCAGCCGCGGUAAUACGGAAGGUCCGGGCGUUAUCCGGAUUUAUUGGGUUUAAAGGGAGCGUAGGCCGGGUUUUAAGCGUGCCGUGAAAUGUCGGGGCUCAACCUUGACACUGCGGCGCGAACUGGAGUCCUUGAGUGCGCGGAACGUAUGCGGAAUUCGUGGUGUAGCGGUGAAAUGCUUAGAUAUCACGAAGAACCCCGAUUGCGAAGGCAGCAUACGGCAGCGCUACUGACGCUGAAGCUCGAAGGCGCGGGUAUCGAACAGGAUUAGAUACCCUGGUAGUCCGCGCGGUA
rnacentral:rRNA from 1 species